rnacentral:rRNA from 1 species
AUUGAACGCUGGCGGUAUGCUUAACACAUGCAAGUCGAACGGUAGGUACUUCGGUACUGGGAGUGGCGGACGGGUGAGUAACGCGUAGGAAUCUGCCCUGUAGUGGGGGACAACGUGGGGAAACUCACGCUAAUACCGCAUACGCCCUUAGGGGGAAAGCGGGGGACCGUAAGGCCUCGCGCUAUAGGAUGAGCCUGCGUUGGAUUAGCUAGUUGGUAGGGUAAAGGCCUACCAAGGCGACGAUCCAUAGCUGGUCUGAGAGGACGAUCAGCCACACUGGGACUGAGACACGGCCCAGACUCCUACGGGAGGCAGCAGUGGGGAAUAUUGGAAAAUGGGCGCAAGCCUGAUCCAGCAAUACCGCGUGUGUGAAGAAGGCCUGAGGGUUGUAAAGCACUUUCAAUAGGGAGGAAAAAGCAUAGGCGAAUACCUUGUGCCUUGACAUUACCUAUAGAAGAAGCACCGGCUAACUCCGUGCCAGCAGCCGCCGCCG